AACGUAAGGGGCGAGCGUUGUCCGGAAUUACUGGGCGUAAAGAGCACGUAGGCGGCGGAGCAAGCGGCAGGUGAAAUCCUCCGGCUCAACCGGAGAACUGCUUGCCGAACUGUUCGGCUGGAGCACGGGAGAGGGCAGUGGAAUUCCUGGUGUAGCGGUGGAAUGCGUAUAUAUCAGGAGGAACACCGGUGGCGAAGGCUGCUGCCUGGAACGUUGCUGACGCUGAGGUGCGAAAGCUAGGGGAGCAAACAGGAUUAGAUACCCCCGUA
rnacentral:rRNA from 1 species